UACGGAGGGUGCGAGCGUUGUUCGGAUUUAUUGGGCGUAAAGCGCGUGUAGGCGGUUUUAUAAGUCUGAUGUGAAAGCCCCGGGCUCAACCUGGGAAGUGCAUUGGAUACUGUAAGACUUGAGUACGGGAGGGGGCAGUGGAAUUCCCAGUGUAGGAGUGAAAUCCGUAGAUAUUGGGAGGAACACCGGUGGCGAAGGCGGCUGCCUGGACCGAUACUGACGCUGAGACGCGAAAGCGUGGGUAGCAAACAGG
rnacentral:rRNA from 1 species